GAUGAACGCUGACAGAAUGCUUAACACAUGCAAGUCUACUUGAUUCUACUUCGGUAGUUGAUGGUGGCGGACGGGUGAGUAACGCGUAAAGAAUCUGCCCUUUAGUUUGGGAUAACCUUUGGAAACGAAGGCUAAUACCGAAUAUUAUGGAGAUGUCGCAUGACGACUUCAUGAAAGCUAUAUGCGCUAGAGGAGGACUUUGCGUCCCAUUAGUUAGUUGGUGAGGUAAUGGCUCCCCAAGACCGCGAUGGGUAGCCGUACUGAGAGGGUGAUCGGCCACAAGGGAACUGAGACACGGUCCUUACUCCUACGGGAGGCAGCAGUGGGGAAUAUUGGACAAUGGACCACAAGUCUGAUCCAGCAAUUCCGUGUGCACGAUGAAGGUCUUCGGAUUGUAAAGUGCUUUCAGUAGGGAAGAAAAAAAUGACGGUACCUACAGAAGAAGCGACGGCUAAAUAUGUGCCAGCCGCCGCCGUAACAC
rnacentral:rRNA from 1 species